rnacentral:rRNA from 1 species
UAGCCGUAAACGAUACUCGCUAGGUGUCGGCCACGGUGCGACCGUUGUCGGUGCCGUAGGGAAGCCGUGAAGCGAGCCACCUGGGAAGUACGGCCGCAAGGCUGAAACUUAAAGGAAUUGGCGGGGGAGCACAACAACGGGUGGAGCUUGCGGUUUAAUUGGAUUCAACGCCGGAAAUCUUACCGGGACCGACAGCAACAUGAAGGCCAAGCUGAAGACUUUGCCGGAUUUAGCUGAGAGGUGGUGCAUGGCGUAGUCGUG